rnacentral:rRNA from 1 species
GUCGGUGGUCAUAGCGGGGAAGAAACGCCCGGACCCAUCCCGAACCCGGAAGCUAAGAACCCCAGCGCUGAUGGUACUGUCCCCGACAGGCGGACGGAAGAGUAAGACACCGCCGACA